AGACUGGAAUUCCUGGUGUAGCGGUGAAAUGCGCAGAUAUCAGGAGGAACACCGAUGGCGAAGGCAGGUCUCUGGGCCACUACUGACGCUGAGAAGCGAAAGCAUGGGGAGCGAACAGGAUUAGAUACCCUGGUAGUCCAUGCCGUAAACGUUGGGCGCUAGGUGUGGGACUCAUUCCACGAGUUCCGUGCCGCAGCUAACGCAUUAAGCGCCCCGCCUGGGGAGUACGGCCGCAAGGCUAAAACUCAAAGGAAUUGACGGGGGCCCGCACAAGCGGCGGAGCAUGCGGAUUAAUUCGAUGCAACGCGAAGAACCUUACCAAGGCUUGACAUAUACCGGAAACAUCCAGAGAUGGGUGCCCCUUUUGGUCGGUAUACAGGUGGUGCAUGGUUGUCGUCAGCUCGUGUCGUGAGAUGUUGGGUUAAGUCCCGCAACGAGCGCAACCCUCGUUCUAUGUUGCCAGCACGUGAUGGUGGGGACUCAUAGGAGACUGCCGGGGUCAACUCGGAGGAAGGUGGGGAUGACGUCAAAUCAUCAUGCCCCUUAUGUCUUGGGCUUCACGCAUGCUACAAUGGCCGGUACAAAGGGCUGCGAUAUCGCAAGGUGGAGCGAAUCCCAAAAAACCGGUCUCAGUUCGGAUUGGGGUCUGCAACUCGACCCCAUGAAGUCGGAGUCGCUAGUAAUCGCAGAUCAGCAACGCUGCGGUGAAUACGUUCCCGGGCCUUGUACACACCGCCCGUCAAGUCACGAAAGUCGGUAACACCCGAAGCCGGUGGCCCAACCCUUGUGGGGGGAGCCGUCGAAGGUGGGACUGGUGAUUGGGACUAAGUCGUA
rnacentral:rRNA from 1 species